UACAGAGGGGGCAAGCGUUGUUCGGAAUUACUGGGCGUAAAGGGCGCGUAGGCGGCCUGUUAAGUCGAACGUGAAAUCCCCGGGCUCAACCUGGGAACUGCAUUUGUGACUGCAUGGCUAGAGUGCGGCAGAGGGGGAUGGAAUUCCGCGUGUAGCAGUGAAAUGCGUAGAUAUGCGGAGGAACACCGAUGGCGAAGGCAAUCCCCUGGGCCUGCACUGACGCUCAUGCACGAAAGCGUGGGGAGCAAACAGG
rnacentral:rRNA from 1 species